rnacentral:rRNA from 1 species
UACGUAGGGGGCAAGCGUUAUCCGGAAUCAUUGGGCGUAAAGCGCGUGUAGGCGGUUCCGUAAGUCCGCUCUGAAAGCCCAGGGCUCAACCCCUGGGAGGCGGGUGGAUACUACGGAACUGGAGUACGGAAGAGGAGAUUGGAAUUCCUGGUGUAGCGGUGAAAUGCGCAGAUAUCAGGAGGAACACCAACAGCGAAGGCAGAUCUCUGGGACGUUACUGACGCUGAGACGCGAAAGCGUGGGGAGCAAACAGG